rfam:Salmonella enterica subsp. enterica serovar Typhimurium str. LT2, complete genome.
GAGCGCAACACUUAGCCAGCAUAUACGCUAUGGAUUUCGAGUUGCAGACAAUACGUCUGUAAUUUGCAAGACGAGUCGUACUGGCUCUGAAGUUACCUACGGGUAGUUCAGGUAAUGGGGCCGCCUGUCAGGCGGCCUUUUUACUUUAG